rnacentral:rRNA from 1 species
AGUGAACGCUGGCGGCAGGCCUAACACAUGCAAGUCGAACGGCAGCACAGUAAUUGCUGGCGGAUACGGGUGGCGAGUGGCGGACAGUGCCUUAAGACAUGGGAGUCUACUGGUUAGUGGGUGCUAACACAGGGACUCUUACUCCAAUACCACAUACGACGUAAGUGUGGAAGCAUGGGACCUUCUGACCUUACGCGAGUGUAUGGGCCCAUGUCGGAUUAGCUAGUUGGGGGGGUACAGGGCCACCAAGGCGACACUCGGUAGGUGGUCUGACAGGAUGAUCAGUCAGACUGGAACUGAGACACGGCCCAGACUCCGAGGGGAGGCAGCAGUGGGGAAUAUUGGAGAAUGGGCGAAAGGGGGAUCCAGCGAUGCCGCGUGGGUGAAGAAGGAGUUAGGGUGGUAAAGCGAUUUAGGUCGGAAGGAAGGGCAGUACGUUAAUACCGGGCUGUUAUGACGGUACCCAAAGAAUAAGCACCGGCUAACUUCGUG